CGAGUGAAGCGGGAAAAGCUCAAAUUUGAAAUCUGGCGGUCUUUGGCCGUCCGAGUUGUAAUCUAGAGAAGUGUUACCCGCGCUGGACCGUGUACAAGUCUCCUGGAAUGGAGCGUCAUAGAGGGUGAGAAUCCCGUCUCUGACACGGACUCCCAGGGCUUUGUGGUAUGCUCUCAAAGAGUCGAGUUGUUUGGGAAUGCAGCUCAAAAUGGGUGGUAAAUUCCAUCUAAAGCUAAAUAUUGGCGAGAGACCGAUAGCGAACAAGUUCCGUGAGGGAAAGAUGAAAAGAACUUUGGAAAGAGAGUUAAACAGUACGUGAAAUUGCUGAAAGGGAAACGCUUGAAGUCAGUCGCGUCGGCCGGGGAUCAGCCUCGCAUUUGCGUGGUGUACUUUCCGGUUGAUGGGUCAGCAUCAAUUUUGACCGUUGGAAAAAGGUUUGGGGAAUGUGACAGCUCAGGCUGUGUUAUAGCCCCUUGUCAUAUGCAACGGUUGGGAUUGAGGUACUCAGCACGCCGCAAGGCCGGGUUUCGACCACGAUCGUGCUUAGGAUGCUGGCAUAAUGGCUUUAAGCGACCCGUCUUGAAACACGGACCAAGGAGUCUAACAUGCAUGCGAGUGUUUGGGUGCAAAACCCGAGCGCGUAAUGAAAGUGAAAGUUGAGAUCCCUGUCGUGGGGAGCAUCGACGCCCAGACCAGAACUUUUGGGACGGAUCUGCGGUAGAGCGUGUAUGUUGGGACCCGAAAGAUGGUGAACUAUGCCUGAAUAGGGUGAAGCCAGAGGAAACUCUGGUGGAGGCUCGUAGCGAUUCUGACGUGCAAAUCGAUCGUCAAAUUUGGGUAUAGGGGCGAAAGACUAAUCGAACC
rnacentral:rRNA from 1 species